UCCUUGGUGGCUUAGCUGGUAAAGAAUCUGCCUGCAAUGCAGGAGACCUGGGUUCGAUCCUUGGGUUGGGAA
rnacentral:tRNA from 1 species